GACGUAGGGCGCGAGCGUUGUCCGGAUUUAUUGGGCGUAAAGAGCUCGUAGGUGGCUGAGUAAGUCGGAUGUUAAAUCCCCAGGCUCAACCUGGGACACCACCCGAUACUGCUCUAGCUAGAGUCCGGUAGGGGAGCAUGGAAUUCCUGGUGUAGCGGUGAAAUGCGCAGAUAUCAGGAGGAACACCGGUGGCGAAGGCGGCAUCCUGGACCAACACUGACGCUGAGUGAGCGAAAGCCAGGGGAGCAAACGGG
rnacentral:rRNA from 1 species